CCUACGGGCGGCAGCAGUGAGGAAUAUUGGUCAAUGGGCGCGAGCCUGAACCAGCCAAGUAGCGUGAAGGAUGACUGCCCUACGGGUUGUAAACUUCUUUUAUAAAGGAAUAAAGUGAGGCACGUGUGCCUUUUUGUAUGUACUUUAUGAAUAAGGAUCGGCUAACUCCGUGCCAGCAGCCGCGGUAAUACGGAGGAUUCGAGCGUUAUCCGGAUUUAUUGGGUUUAAAGGGUGCGUAGAUGGGUUGUUAAGUCAGUUGUGAAAGUUUGCGGCUCAACCGUAAGACUGCAAUUGAUACUGGCAGCCUUGAGUGCAGUUGAGGUAGGCGGAAUUCGUGGUGUAGCGGUGAAAUGCUUAGAUAUCACGAAGAACUCCGAUUGCGAAGGCAGCUUACUAAACUGCCACUGACAUUGAGGCUCGAAAGUGUGGGUAUCAAACAGGAUUAGAUACCCUGGUAGUC
rnacentral:rRNA from 1 species